UGGGGAAUUUUGGACAAUGGGCGCAAGCCUGAUCCAGCCAUGCCGCGUGUCUGAAGAAGGCCUUCGGGUUGUAAAGGACUUUUGUCAGGGAAGAAAAGGAUAGGGUUAAUACCCCUGUCUGAUGACGGUACCUGAAGAAUAAGCACCGGCUAACUACGUGCCAGCAGCCGCGGUAAUACGUAGGGUGCGAGCGUUAAUCGGAAUUACUAGGCGUAAAGCGGGCGCAGACGGUUACUUAAGCAGGAUGUGAAAUCCCCGGGCUCAACCUGGGAACUGCGUUCUGAACUGGGUGACUAGAGUGUGUCAGAGGGAGGUAGAAUUCCACGUGUAGCAGUGAAAUGCGUAGAGAUGUGGAGGAAUACCGAUGGCGAAGGCAGCCUCCUGGGAUAACACUGACGUUCAUGCCCGAAAGCGUGGGUAGCAAACAGGAUUAGAUACCCUGGUAGUCCACGCCCUAAACGAUGUCGAUUAGCUGUUGGGCAGCUUGACUGCUUAGUAGCGAAGCUAACGCGUGAAAUCGACCGCCUGGGGAGUACGGUCGCAAGAUUA
rnacentral:rRNA from 1 species